AUUGGACGCUGGCGGCAUGCCUAACACAUGCAAGUCGAACGGCAGCACAGAGGAGCUUGCUCCUUGGGUGGCGAGUGGCGGACGGGUGAGUAAUGUAUCGGGAUCUACCCUGACGUGGGGGAUAACCUCGGGAAACCGGGACUAAUACCGCAUACGUCCUACGGGAGGAAGCGGGGACCUUCGGGCCUCGCGCGGCAGGA
rnacentral:rRNA from 1 species